AAAGUGAGGUGGAACUAAGAUCUGACGGUGGGAAUGAUAAUCAUUAUGUGGAUACAGCUAAAAUGGACAUGUCAUACCCAUACACUCUCUCGAACGUAAUCAUGGAAGAUAACACAUUGGGAAUUCAAUUCUGUGGAUUAUGCCUAAAGCCUGGCGUCACAUGCGAGAAAGGAUGUCUUUGUACUUGGAAACUAGGUUGGCUUGUACCUAUUUGCAAGGGCCUGUGCUGCUAAAUCUACAACAUAUAUGUAUCACCAUCGUGGCGGUUGUUGGACACUAUUCAUAUCGAAUAAUACAAAUCCUUCAUAUAUAUAUAUAUAUAUAUAAAAGAAGCAUUAGCUAGGUUUAUGUAGUCGUGCAUAUCCAGCUGCUUCUUGAUAUAUCAUGGUCUUCUCUUUCUUUUUUCCUUUUAAUGCUGAAAUUUGUAGCGAACGUUUCUUGUAUUAGUAUUGUAAAACUCUAAAUUGACUAUCUUAAAUAGACAAUAUAUUUUAUAACUCAAAAGUAUUUUUAGACAUUUGAAGGAGUUCCUGACAAGUUUAUGACUUGUCACGAUAACUUGUUUUUUCCAAAUUUAUUUUCUUAACUCCUAAUUCUCCAGAAAUCAUUAUAUAUGUUUAUAGCAAUUUUUUUAAUUGAUAUUUCAUCCAUAUAUGUUGAUAUUCACUGAGAAAAUAUUAUUUUAUUUAUAAGAAGAUUUUUCUUUAAAUAAAAUAUUAUUUUUAUGUUUUAGUUUUUGGGACUUUUUGUCAAUUGAUUAAAGAAUAUUUUAUGAUAUUUUUUAUUUAUAAAACUCGUGGUAAUGGCUGGCUAUGAAAAGAAAGAUUAAAAAACAUGUACUUUUUUUUUGGAAAAUGAAACUUUGUGUAAUAAAGAACUGAUUUUCAACUUUCUUCAUUUAGAUAAUAUUCUAUGAUAUUCUAAUUGUUAUCCAUAUUUUCAACCUUGGACACGCGGAUGGCCAAACGAGUUUCAUGGGCUCUCAGGAGAGGCCCGAGCCCAACCAGGGCCCAGUGAACAAUGAGCAACCAAACCCUAUCGGCCCAAACCAUGCCAAGCCGAAUGACUAGCAAGUACCACGAGCAUAGUAAAGGGGCCUAGACUGAAAUGUAGGCCUGACCCACCUUCUCGAGCGCACCCAAUAUCUAUCCCUCGAGAUUUAGAUUAUGGUGGCAGAGGGUCCAUUCCAGAAGACGGAUCCCAUCGAAUGGGAUCCAGAUGAAGUCUCCGGCUCCAUCCCCAACUUUCUAAUUUGCCAUCAAGAUGUCCUUCGAUCCAUCAUCGCUAGCUGUUGUCCACCCAACUAAAUGAACCCAGUCUUGGUAAAUGAACCUGGACAUCGGUAAACGAAGUUGUACCAUAUGUCCGGAUAAAACAAGCCCAGUCUGUAAUGUCCUGAAUUUGUUAUUAAGGCUAAGUGCCUUAAUUAAUGUGCCUGUAGAACCUAAUUGGAAUUAUAUGUGUAAUUAAUGGAUUAUACGUGUGAUUAUGUGAUAUAAAUGAUUUGUGUGGUAAUGUGACUAGAUAUGCAUAUUUAUGUGUAUUAAAUAUGCAUGUGGGCCCAUUUAUGUAAAUUGGGGCAUGCUUGUAAUUUUGGCCCAUUGAGGGCAUAAAUGUAAUUAUGUAUGUGUUAUCAGUGAGACCCCAGUGUUAAGGAAAUUUAUUUGAGACGUGUGGUUCGAGGCGAUCCUAGGGAGAAGAUAAGCAGAAAAGUCACAACGGGGACUAAUACCCUGCUCGGGGUGAGCCUAUAUGUAUUUUGGGAAUGUAGUACGUACUCGAGAUUGAACGAGUAACUGAUAGUUUUCUGGUGAUUAAUUGGGUAUGUCGGAAUUAAUUGGUGAUUUAAAGGGCUACUUGAGGUUUAGCGGGAAAAAUGGUGGCAAAUGAUGGUAUCGCCCUUGGGGGCAUUAGAAGGUAAGUUUUUUAUCUAGGGGCCUUUUGGUAUUUUGCUAGUUUUUGGCUGACCUUAGUUGAGACUAGAAGCCUUGAGAACAAUCAGAACACAAAGGAUAAGGCACACACUCUCUCUCUCUCCCACGUUUGGCUCUCUCUCACUCUUGGAGGAAGUUUGGAAAAUUGAAAGAAAGGCAGGGAAUUCCUUGAGUUCUUGAGAUUAGGGUUGAAGGCUGGAGGUUAGAAUUGGUGUAGGAGCAGCUCAGGGGUCGAAAUUGACUUUGAGGUAAGGUUUAGUACAAGUUUUCUUAUGAAUUUCUCUGGUUUAGUUUGAGUUUUGGCUAUGCUUUGGACAUAGACUGGUUUUGGAUUUUAGGAAGGAUUAUAGAAUAUUUUUUGAGCUAAUUAUAGUGAUUAUGUUGUACUGAUGCAAGCUCUAGACUAAAUUAUUUUGGGUAUUGUUUAGGGUAGAUUUUAGUAAGUUUGGCUCGAGAAAAAUGCAGGAAAUUCUGGGUUUUGGGCUCUAGCCAUGGAAUUUUUCUUCAGGCGUCGCGACCCAUGUGUGUGAAGAGCCUGGGAGCCUAUGAAUUUUUUCCUAGGCACCGCAAUGCAAGUAGGGCGCACUGCGGCCCGUGUCCCCCAAAAGAGAGCCCCAAGGCUCUCUGAAUUGUAGUGUGUCGCGGCCCUAGGGUGCUGGGUCGCGACUCAAAUUGAGGAUAAUUGUCAAAACUGGGUUUUCAGCUUGGGAACUCGAAUCUUAAGGCUCGGGAAGAAUUCUACUACCUGGUUUAGUAGGAUUCGAGGUCCCAGAGGCUAAUAUAUUAUUCCUAGACUUCUAAUUGAUUUAGAUUGUGAUAGCUAUUUAUUAAUUUGUUGUGACUAGGUUUUACCGCUAUGGCUCGGGAAUAGGUAUCGUGCUUGGGAUCACCUUGUGCUUUCAGCUCGUAACACAAGGUCAAAAAAGCCGAAGGCCGGGAACGAGGAAAGUCGGGAUCGACAAAGGCCAGGAUUGACAUUAAGCAUGCUGAAUGCAAGCCACCAGGGUGAGACCCUCAAAUGGUGUUGUACUCACUCACUCGAUUAAGACAGUGGACUUGGUGCCUGGUAACACACUCUGAUCGGCGGAGGUCGCUGUUGUGCUGCUAUAAUGUUGGGUUGUUAUGUUGUUGUGAAUUCUGAUAGAAGCUUGUAGUUGUCUAUUAUGUCUAAGUAAUUAUGCAUUUGUUGAAGUAAAUUAUCAUUUGCUGUGUUGUGAAGUUUUCUUGUUGGGCCUCGGCUCACGGGUGCUCUGUGCUGCAGGUAAAGACAAGGAAAAGGUCGAUCAACUAUGAGUUAGAGGGCAUGGAGCGGUGUGUACAUGUUUGACCUACAUGGCCGCCACGGCUAGAGUUAUUUUGGGGGACACGUUGUGAACGUUUGAUUUUGUUGCUUAGGUCGACUGUACUCUAACUUUUAAUUUGAAAAUAUAUUUUUGAAAUAGUAUUUUGGGAUCCUAAUGUAUCACUUUUAUAACUUUAAUGGAUGUCCAAACCUUUUAUACAUAAUUUUUGUUAAAUGGGUUUUUAUUUCAAUUUAAUCACACUUUUCAGUCUAAAACCUUGAUUAGCAAGCUAUUGGCACAUUUUAAACCCACAUGGUAACGACACUUAGGCAGUAAGCCAUUACAACUUAGUAUCAGAGCAAGCCAAGGUUUAUGGUUCCUGGAGAUUGACCGAUCAUGUACACUUGCUGCCAAAGACAAGCUCAACUCAAGGUUUUACCUCUAAGGCUCAGGAUUGGGGUUCGUUCUCAGGAUCACCUUGUUUUGUCAGCUCGGAACUCAAGGUAAGAAAAUUGUUUUUGCCCGUAGAGCUAUCUGUGCUUAUAUUGUGUGUAAAUAUUACGUCAUACAUUUGUUUGUGACGGAAAUAGCGAAUGCUAGGAACGACGAAGGUCGGGAAUGGCGAAGGUCGAGAACGACGAAGGAUGGGUGCGGCAAAGGCCAGGAUUGUCAUUAAGCAUGUUGAAUGCAGACCACCAGGGCGAGACCCUCAAAGGGUGUUGUACUCACUCACUCAGUUAAGAUUGUGGACUUGCUUCCUGGUAACACACCUUGAUCGGCGAAGGCCACUGUUGAGCUGCUUUGCUAUUGUGAAUUCUGAUUGAAUCUUGUAAGGGCAAGGAAAAUGUCGAUCAACCAUGAGUUGGAGGGCAUGGAGCGUGCGUACAUGGUUAGCCUACCUGGCCACCACAACUGGGGUUAUUUUGAGGAACAUGUUGUGAAUGCUUGAUUUUGUCGCUUAGGUCGACUGUACUCUAACUUUUGAGUUGUAAAUAUAUUUUGAAACAGUAUUUGUGGAUCCCAAUGUCUCAUUUUUAUAACUUUAAUGGAUGUCCAAACCUUUUAUACUUAAUUAUUAUUAAAUAAGUUUUUUAUCCUGAUUUAA